rfam:Picea glauca, whole genome shotgun sequence.
GGGUGCAAUCAUACCAACUUUAAUGCAUCGGAUCCCAUCAGAACUUCGCAGUUAAGCACGCUUGGGCUAGAGUAGUACUGGGAUCGGUGACCUCCCGGGAAGUCCUAAUGUUGCGCCCU